GGAAGUAUGGCUCAAUGGUAGAGCAUUUGCCCAGCAUGCACAAGGCUCUGAGUUCAGUCCCCAGUACCACUA
rnacentral:tRNA from 1 species